UUAUAAUUGUGACGAUUAUUCUUUUUUUCAUUUUGAGACGAAAAAAACCAAAGAAAGAUAAAGAAAGAGAAAAAGAGAUCAAAAACAUGUGUGUCACGACCAAAGAUCGCAGAAGAAGCACGCGUAGUAUGGUUC
rnacentral:rRNA from 1 species